rnacentral:misc_RNA from 1 species
AAGUCGUAACAAGGUUUCCGUAGGUGAACCUGCGGAAGGAUCAUUAACACGUAUCCAAACGUAAAAAACCCCCCCCGUGAACAUUCAAUCCUGCUCUUGUAACCCGCGUAGUUCGCAAUCUCUGGUAAAUCAUAGCCCGGAAAGUAGUUUUGAUUCAGAGACCUCUGGCUACGUGAGAACAUUGGAACAGUUACAAUCGAGCGGUAGUUUCAUAGGCAUUGUUUCCCCAAGCAGUCAGUGUCUGAAAAUGUCACUGAUUGUGCAAGGAUAGCGCUUCUUGAAGCUCAAUGUAAUACAUUGGGGAAAAAAACCGAACAACUGUUAACAAUGGAUAUCUUGGUUCUC